CCUCCGUGCCCAAACGCCGGCAUGUGCGAGGCAAACAGAGCGCGAUUGUUCCGAGCCUGGGAACGCGCGGGCGGGCGCGGGGGCCGCCGCCCGCCGCCCCCCGCCCGGCCCCCGCUCAGCCGCGAUUGUGAUGGAAAUAGGCCUUUCCCCGCAUGCUGUUGAACUUGAUGUUGACUCCUUUUCUUUGGGGUUUCACAUCUCCUCGGCCACUUGUUUUGUGGGAAAAUUUUCUCCCGAGCUCCGGUGUGAAAUUAAUUAAUCGGGGCCUCUAGAUGGCAAUGGGACACAAAAGGGGACAGCCCGGGGAAACUCCGGCAAACUCACAAAAGACACCCCCGGGUUUAGAGCCCUGGGCCGGUGGGACCGACUGCCCUGCCCUGCCCGGUGCCCGAGGUGGGCUCGGCCGAGCGGCUCCGCGGGGACCGGCACACCGGGCGAGGCGGACGUAACGGCGGCUCCCCCCAUCUUCUAUUUCAAAGGCAGCCCCGGGAUGCGGCCGGUUCUACCGGAGAGAUGCGGAGCAGGUGCGCGACGUGCAGUUAGUGGCGUUACCGGUAACGGUGGGAAGUUACCGGGCUGGCGGGGAGCGGCACACCGCGGCAUCCCUCGGGGCGAUGGGAGAGAGGGGCCGGCAUCGGCCGGGAUACCCAGGCUGCGGUUCUCCGGUGGGAACCGGGGCUCCUGAGCCGAGCCCAUCUGUGCUGCCUCCCGCCGAGGAGACCGGCGGUUCCUACGGCGAGCGCCGUGCUCGCACCGGAGCCCAACAUGGCUGCUGUAGUGAAGAGGAGAAAUCCCUGUGUUGCUUUGACCUCUGUGGUCCAGCGGCAUCCCUCACUGGGAACAGGGAUGGGGAGCAGCCAGGCCAGCGUGGGCCAAGCCCUGCAGCACCCUCACCCUCACCAUCAAAGG